CUGUUUGGUUCUGAAAGGCAUAUUUAGGCUACUCUUAAAAUCUUUCCAUUGCAACCAUGAAGUAUUCGUGUUGAUUUUUUCUUUUUAAUUUCAAUAUAACCUAAAGCUCUUGGAACCACCAGCUGCCUGCACAUGGAACUUCAUGACAGAGAGGAAAGCACCAAAAAGUAUAAAAUAAAGUUGCAGAGAAUCAUUUAAUCUUCUGAGUUGGUGCUGUGAAACCUUGAAGCAUAGACUCUGUGCAGUGUUGUUGCAAUGAAAAUGUUGCUUGCAGUUCACACCCGUGGAGCUGUCGAUUUUUGGCUUCUUUAUAUAGCAGCAAUGGCUUUAGCUGAAACAUUUUCCCACAAAGCUGCCUCCUGUGGAAAGAAUUUGAACACCUGGGCAGUAACCUGCGAGUCCUCAAGAUGUUGGAUUUUAUGUUUCUUCAGUUAUAUUUCUGCUUACACUGCAACUUGUGAACCUCAGACACAUGACAUCAGCCUUUAUGAGAAACAUGACUGGGGGGGUCUGCUGAAAUAAUCACAUUGGAAAUUCACACCCAACCUUUUUUCUGAAUGAAAUUGCUCCAGGUUUAAAUAUUAAAUUCUGUCAAGUAAUAUGGGCUAUCUGUAUCUACUGCAGGAGAAAUACCGCUUUUAUUCCUAGUAGUGCACACUUGAAGUGACUCAUCACUUGCUUUAUUUAAAGAGGUGCUUGUUCCUAUAUAUGCUAAACAUUCAGUAGUGUUUUCUGGCCUUAUUGUAGCAAAGUUGUUAAGUUAAUGGUCUAAUGAUCAUGGUGUAAUGGUCAUGGUCUAAUGGCUUAAUGUUCAUGGUGUGUGUUGUUCCUUGGGCUCCACAUGUACUACAUGUGCUUAAUAUCAUCACUUGCUCCCAUGCUUUGCUGGAUGCAGGCUGAGGCUGUCCGUGCCUAUGUGGAUGGAACCCUGAGUGAGCAAGCCUCAGAUGGCAAUUUGUGCCAGAAUACAUGGGUUUAUUAUUCAACAUCUCAGCUGGCUACUUAAUUUGUAACCACUUUUGGCUGGAAAGCUCACUGUUAAUGCAAUCAGCCGCCUGCUUUCUGUCAGGCCUGAGGCAUUUAUUUUCAUUACUCUGGUUGCCUCAAACAAAUGAGAGGACGGGUGUUGGAACUGACAUCUGUGGAGAUAUGUAUGUCCAUCUGGUGUGUCAGCUGGAAUAAAUCAUUUCUCCUUUGUGGAAAUGGGGCUUGAUACAUCCUUCAGGAGGUGUAUGAGCAGGAUACCUAAUAGGUGUGAGGGGCAAAUUGCUGGUCCAAAGACCAUAAGACUCAAGGUGAAAAGAUCUAGGGGAGCGAGGAGUCUGGGUGACACUGAAAUUAACUGGAAGUAUACAAAACAUGCAGAGAAUAGAAAAUGAAAGGAAUCUGAGGAAGUAAGUGCAAGAGGAGGAGAAAAUCACGCAUGUAAGAUAAAAACAGAAGUAAAGAACAAUUAACAUGAAAUGUAUCAGAGUAAAGCAGCAAGCCUUUCUGCAUAAGAAGAACAUCAUCUCCGUUCUACCAAGUAAGGUAGUAAUGAUCAAGAAAUGGAAAACAGGACAAGGAAGACAAAACAUGAAAGAAAGAUUGCCUUACAUGACAGUGUCUGAAGUGCUCAACUAUGGAACAUCUCUGCAUGAACAUCAGAGGAACAGUCCCCUCAUUUCAGCUGCAGUCUGACAGCUUUGAGGACAGAUAUGCUGUUCACAGUGUGCCAUGACAGAGUUAAAGAACUGCAAACCAGCUGCUACAAAAGUAGGUGCAGUGCAGAAACAGCCAGCUGUUCUGGGGCAGAGCCUGGCCCCACAGAGAUGCUGCCAUCCGAUGCAGUGUGUCUCACCAUGUAGUAAAGUGCGUGGAUCUGCCACUUGGGAAGCCUGGAGCAGUAAUCAGUAGUGUAAGAGAAACAUCUAAAUAUUUAAAUCCUGAUGUCUUCUAAGAUUAGAAUGCAAAGGGCCUGGCUGGAGGCUUGGUUCAGGUGGCUGCCACUGGAAGAAAAAGACAUGAAACUAAAACAUUGUCCAUUUGAAACAUAUAGUAAGUUUAUAUUCCCCCUUUUCCUUAUAUCUUGGUAAGUAACUGCAAAGCCUGUCAAUGCAGAUGAUGUUUACAGAGCAGCUGGAAGCAGAGACUGUGGCCAGCUGUACAUACUUGUGCUAGCAAAGGGGUGAAUUAAGUGUCCCAAAAAAGCUCAUCUGUGAGAACUGUCCUACAAACCUACAUCUCAGUGCUUGUGAUGUGAAGUCACCUCCCUCCGUAGUCCCUGAAUGAAGUCCUAACGGAGGACUAAUUCCAGCCCUUAUGGCCAAGGCCCAAGAACCCCAAAGAGCACCUGUUUGUGGAAUGGCUGCAUUACCCUGAGCUCAGUUUGAUCCUUCCAUGAGGAAUUACAGGACCUUAUUUGCUGCAUCUGUCAAAAUAAUUACACCUCUCAGUGAUUUUUAUCUCUUUAUUCCCUGUUCUAAGUACAUUCAUUAAUUAAAUGGCUAUGCUUAUUUCAAUAUGGCCCUGAACUGAUAUGAGCAGUGCAUCAUACUCGUUAUCCUCUGACCAUAUUGCUCUGAACUCACACAAAUUAAAAGGCUUUCUGUGUGC
rnacentral:lncRNA from 7 species